CAAAAGAAGUGGGUAGUUUAACCUUCGGGAGGACGCUCACCACUUUGUGGUUCAUGACUGGGGUGAAGUCGUAACAAGGUAGCCCUAGGGGAACCUGGGGCUGGAUCACCUCCUUAUACGAUGAU
rnacentral:rRNA from 2 species